rnacentral:rRNA from 1 species
GACGAACGCUGGCGGCGUGCCUAAUACAUGCAAGUUGAGCGCUGAAGGUUGGUACUUGUACCAACUGGAUGAGCAGCGAACGGGUGAGUAACGCGUGGGGAAUCUGCCUUUGAGCGGGGGACAACAUUUGGAAACGAAUGCUAAUACCGCAUAAAAACUUUAAACACAAGUUUUAAGUUUGAAAGAUGCAAUUGCAUCACUCAAAGAUGAUCCCGCGUUGUAUUAGCUAGUUGGUGAGGUAAAGGCUCACCAAGGCGAUGAUACAUAGCCGACCUGAGAGGGUGAUCGGCCAAAUUGGGACUGAGACACGGCCCAAACUCCUACGGGAGGCAGCAGUAGGGAAUCUUCGGCAAUGGACGAAAGUCUGACCGAGCAACGCCGCGGGAGUGAAGAAGGUUUUCGGAUCGUAAAACUCGGUUGGUAGAGAAGAAAGUUGGUGAGAGUGGAAAGCUCAUCAAGUGACGGUAACUACACAGAAAGGGACGGCUAACUACGUG